UACGUAGGGUGCAAGCGUUGUCCGGAAUUAUUGGGCGUAAAGAGCUCGUAGGCGGCUUGUCACGUCGGAUGUGAAAGCCCGAGGCUUAACCUCGGGUCUGCAUUCGAUACGGGCUAGCUAGAGUGUGGUAGGGGAGAUUGGAAUUCCUGGUGUAGCGGUGGAAUGCGCAGAUAUCAGGAGGAACACCGAUGGCGAAGGCAGAUCUCUGGGCCGUAACUGACGCUGAGGAGCGAAAGCAUGGGGAGCGAACAGG
rnacentral:rRNA from 1 species